GAUAGCUUCGGGCAGGAGGCCGGGGUAAUACGAAGGGGGCGAGCGGUGGGCGGAAUGACUGGGCGUCAAGGGCGCGUAGUCGGCUCAUACAGUCAGAUGUGAAAUUCCUGGGCUUAACCUGGGGGCUGCAUUUGAUACGUGUGGGCUUGAGUGGGGAAGAGGGUCGUGGAAUUCCCAGUGUAGAGGUGAAAUUCGUAGAUAUUGGGAAGAACACCGGUGGCGAAGGCGGCGACCUGGUCCUUGACUGACGCUGAGGCGCGAAAGCGUGGGGAGCAAACAGGAUUAGAUACCCCAGUAGUC
rnacentral:rRNA from 1 species